rnacentral:misc_RNA from 1 species
GAUGAAGAACGUAGCGAAAUGCGAUAAGUAAUGUGAAUUGCAGAAUUCAGUGAAUCAUCGAAUCUUUGAACGCACCUUGCGCCCUUUGGCCAUUCCGAAGGGCAUGCCUGUUUGAGUAUCAUGGACACCUCAACUCUCAUGGCUCGCCAUGAUGAGCUUGGAUUUGGGGGUCUUGCUGGCCUGUGGUCGGCUCCUCUCAAAUGGAUCAGCUUGCCAGUGUUUGGUGGCAUCACAGGUGUGAUAACUAUCUGCGCUUGUGGUUUUCCAUCAGAUAACCUUCAGUGAUGGAGGUUCGCUGGAGCUCAUAAACGUCUCCCCUAAGCGGGGACAGCCCUUUGAAUGUUUGAUCUCAAAUCAGGUAGGACUACCCGCUGAACUUAAGCAUAUCAAUAAGCGGAGGA